rnacentral:rRNA from 2 species
CUGAACCAGCCAAGUAGCGUGCAGGAUGACGGCCCUAUGGGUUGUAAACUGCUUUUAUAAGGGAAUAAAGUGAGUCUCGUGAGACUUUUUGCAUGUACCUUAUGAAUAAGGACCGGCUAAUUCCGUGCCAGCAGCCGCGGUAAUACGGAAGGUCCGGGCGUUAUCCGGAUUUAUUGGGUUUAAAGGGAGCGUAGGCCGGAGAUUAAGCGUGUUGUGAAAUGUAGACGCUCAACGUCUGCACUGCAGCGCGAACUGGUUUCCUUGAGUACGCACAAAGUGGGCGGAAUUCGUGGUGUAGCGGUGAAAUGCUUAGAUAUCACGAAGAACUCCGAUUGCGAAGGCAGCUCACUGGAGCGCAACUGACGCUGAAGCUCGAAAGUGCGGGUAUCGAACAGGAUUAGAUACCCUGGUAGUC